rnacentral:rRNA from 1 species
UACGUAGGGGCCGAGCGUUGUCCGGAGUUAUUGGGCGUAAAGCGCGCGCAGGCGGCCUCGCGCGCCCGACGUGAAAGCCCCCGGCUUAACCGGGGAGGGUCGUUGGGGACGGCGGGGCUUGAGGGCGGGAGAGGGCGGUGGAAUUCCCGGUGUAGUGGUGAAAUGUGUAGAGAUCGGGAGGAACACCUGUGGCGAAGGCGGCCGUCUGGGCCGACCCUGACGCUGAGGCGCGAAGGCGUGGGGAGCGAACGGG